UUGUGAAGGCACAUGGGUUAAUGGUUUGGGUGUUGCACUCAUGAUUGUGAAAUCGUGGUUUCGAUUCCCAGAGUGGGCAUUGCAUUGUGUUCUUGAGCAAAACACUUCAUUUCACGUUGCUCUAUGAUCAUUUUGUCAUCUGACAUUCUGUUCUGGUAAUGUUGAUUUGGUGGAGGGAGUGAGCUUAUGUGAACUCAAACAUUUGAUCUCUAUAAAUAAAUCAGCUGUGUGGUUGUUCAACAAGAAAUAGCAGAAUCCUCAUACAUCGUCUAAUGAAAGAAGAGUUCAUGAUGUAUGUAUUUAUACACACACACACACACACACACACUUGAGAGGUUGAAACAAGUGAUCCUAUACUAGAAAAUCAGAAUUGAACUCUACUUAUAUAUAAGGAUCAUUGAAAGAGAAGACAAGUUGAAGUCGAACUGUACAUAUAAGGAUGUUAACCUUUGAAAAUUGUUAUAGGUAAAUUAAUUUAUAUAUUUAUUUACCAAAACCUUCAAAGUUUUGGUGUUGGAGCAAUUGUUGUAAUGUUGCCUCUUUAAACAAAGAAUGGAAAACAUAGUUUAAAAAUGUUUUUUCUUUCCAAAUAAUAUUUUGAAAAAACUUAGUUUGUUCUGCUCUAUUCAGAAAUGUUCUGCAAGAUUAUUUUAUUGAAUUUGGAAUAAUUCUGGAAUUGAACAAUUUACACACAUACACACACACGUACACUCAUCACAUGCACACACACAUACACACACUCAUCACACGCACACAUACAUCAUGCAUACACUGACACUUAUGUAGCAAUGUAAAAUCAUUAUAACGUAAUAUGUAUUUCAACAUAUAAUAAAUUGCUAACACUCAGUGCAAAUAUAAUACUUAUAUAUAAUGCUUCAUUAUAUAUAAUGGAAAAGAAGGAGUACACUGAAUAAUGUAAUCUUAGCCAUACUGAAAAGGCAGGAUGGCCACAACUGGAAAACAAUGAAAAAUGACAGGAUGGUCAUAAUUGGAAUUCCUUUUGAUCACUGAUCAAAGCUGAUCUGGGACAAAACAAUAGCAACUACAUAAUACUAUAGAUUGCGAAUGCUUUGUACAAGACUGUAUUAUAAUACCAUUAUAAUAGAGUAACGAUACACAAUGCUUGGUCAUACAGAAAUGAUGCUCAGUACAAUACUCCUGGUGGUAGAUAUCUGAAGCUCAAAGAUAAAGAUGCAAUUGUUCAGUCAUGUGAAUUACCUACUCCUGAAUUGACAUGUAAGUGACUAAGUAUUCCACAGACAUGUGUCUGCUUAAUAUAAUUUUCAAUUGCUGAAUUGGCAUGACAUACGAGUUACAGAAAGUGUAUGGAGAGGAGUGUAUGAGCUGCACAUAAGUGUAUGAGUGAUUCAGACGUUUCCAAGAUGACUGAAAAAGUGUUGAUAUUGUUGAAUGUUCUGGGAGACUUGCAACCAGCAGAACUGAGAAAAAUAUCGUUGAUGUGUGUGUGCAGCCAUGAGGGGAAAUUGUCGAAUCACCAUCCAUGAGUUAUCAAAGGCUGUGCUGAUUAGUUACGGUUCAUUUCAGUCCAUUAUCACUAAAGAUUUGGGUAUGAAACACAUGUCUGCCAAGUUUGUGCCACUCCUUCCUUCCAAGCUCUGCUAUAAACAACAGAAGUGAGCUAGAACAUUGAAACUUAGUGUGAAGCACAGCAGAGUUCAAGGUCAAUCUGUGCCAAGUGGCUUUACUUGGCAUGCUUGAGCUUCAUUACUAUGGUAACAGUCUGGAUAUCUAUUGUGACAAAACCAUACUUUUGAAUAAUAGGUCAAAUCUACCCGAUGGGCUUCUAUGCAGUUUCUGCCUACCCAAUUUAAUUCACACACACACAAAAAAAGAGACGGGUCAACCCAAGGCUAGAGAAAACCAACUUCUUAGCCACUCAGCUUUACUGCACUUGUGAUACACAAUACACUAUCAUUACACUACAACAACAUACAAUAUAACAAUCCAGAUAUACAAUACAAUAUGCCAUACUGACACAUCUAUACUCAGUUCAGUAUUCGACAUGCAAUUCUAACAUAUUGAUAUACUGUAUCCAAUAUGCCAUGUCAUAUACAAUUAGACUACAAUACACUCUAUUAUUACAGGACAAUGUUUGUCAAUGUCACUGCUACCUGUGAUAUUUCUUUCUAAUGAACAUUUUUACUUGUUGUGUUUUCAAAAGUUUAGAGAUGAAAAUAAAAUAUAUUGGUUACAAACUGAA